UACGGGGGGGGCAAGCGUUGUUCGGAAUCACUGGGCGUAAAGGGUGCGUAGGCCGCACGGUAAGUCAGAGGUGAAAUCCCGGAGCUCAACUUCGGAAUUGCCUCCGAUACUGCCGUGCUUGAGGACUGGAGAGGAGUCUGGAAUUCACAGUGGAGCAGUGAAAUGCGUAGAUAUUGUGAGGAACACUAGUGGCGAAGGCGAGACUCUGGACAGUUCCUGACGCUGAGGCACGAAGGCCAGGGGAGCAAACGGG
rnacentral:rRNA from 1 species